rnacentral:rRNA from 2 species
GGGUUGUGAGGUUAAGCGACUAAGCGUACACGGUGGAUGCCCUGGCAGUCAGAGGCGAUGAAGGACGUGCUAAUCUGCGAAAAGCGUCGGUAAGGUGAUAUGAACCGUUAUAACCGGCGAUGUCCGAAUGGGGAAACCCAGUGCAAUUCGUUGCACUAUCGUUAACUGAAUACAUAGGUUAACGAGGCGAACCGGGGGAACUGAAACAUCUAAGUACCCCGAGGAAAAGAAAUCAACCGAGAUUCCCCCAGUAGCGGCGAGCGAACGGGGAGCAGCCCAGAGUCUGAAUCAGCUUGUGUGUUAGUGGAACGGUCUGGAAAGUCCGACGGUACAGGGUGAUAGUCCCGUACACCAAAAUGCACAGGUUGUGAACUCGAAGAGUAGGGCGGGACACGUGGUAUCCUGUCUGAAUAUGGGGGGACCAUCCUCCAAGGCUAAAUACUCCUGACUGACCGAUAGUGAACCAGUACCGUGAGGGAAAGGCGAAAAGAACCCCGGCGAGGGGAGUGAAAAAGAACCUGAAACCGUGUACGUACAAGCAGUGGGAGCACCUUCGGGUGUGACUGCGUACCUUUUGUAUAAUGGGUCAGCGACUUAUAUUCUGUAGCAAGGUUAACCGUAUAGGGGAGCCGCAGGGAAACCGAGUCUUAACUGGGCGUUAAGUUGCAGGGUAUAGACCCGAAACCCGGUGAUCUAGCCAUGGGCAGGUUGAAGGUUGGGUAACACUAACUGGAGGACCGAACCGACUAAUGUUGAAAAAUUAGCGGAUGACUUGUGGCUGGGGGUGAAAGGCCAAUCAAACCGGGAGAUAGCUGGUUCUCCCCGAAAGCUAUUUAGGUAGCGCCUCGUGAACUCAUCUUCGGGGGUAGAGCACUGUUUCGGCUAGGGGGUCAUCCCGACUUACCAACCCGAUGCAAACUACGAAUACCGAAGAAUGUUAUCACGGGAGACACACGGCGGGUGCUAACGUCCGUCGUGAAGAGGGAAACAACCCAGACCGCCAGCUAAGGUCCCAAAGUCAUGGUUAAGUGGGAAACGAUGUGGGAAGGCACAGACAGCCAGGAUGUUGGCUUAGAAGCAGCCAUCAUUUAAAGAAAGCGUAAUAGCUCACUGGUCGAGUCGGCCUGCGCGGAAGAUGUAACGGGGCUAAACCAUGCACCGAAGCUGCGGCAGCGACACUAUGUGUUGUUGGGUAGGGGAGCGUUCUGUAAGCCUGCGAAGGUGACCUGUGAGGGUUGCUGGAGGUAUCAGAAGUGCGAAUGCUGACAUAAGUAACGAUAAAGCGGGUGAAAAGCCCGCUCGCCGGAAGACCAAGGGUUCCUGUCCAACGUUAAUCGGGGCAGGGUGAGUCGACCCCUAAGGCGAGGCCGAAAGGCGUAGUCGAUGGGAAACAGGUUAAUAUUCCUGUACUUGGUGUUACUGCGAAGGGGGGACGGAGAAGGCUAUGUUAGCCGGGCGACGGUUGUCCCGGUUUAAGCAUGUAGGCUGAUUGUCCAGGCAAAUCCGGAUAAUCAAGGCUGAGGUGUGAUGACGAGGCACUACGGUGCUGAAGUAACAAAUGCCCUGCUUCCAGGAAAAGCCUCUAAGCAUCAGGUAACAUCAAAUCGUACCCCAAACCGACACAGGUGGUCAGGUAGAGAAUACCAAGGCGCUUGAGAGAACUCGGGUGAAGGAACUAGGCAAAAUGGUGCCGUAACUUCGGGAGAAGGCACGCUGGUGUGUAGGUGAAGUCCCUGCGGAUGGAGCUGAGACCAGUCGAAGAUACCAGCUGGCUGCAACUGUUUAUUAAAAACACAGCACUGUGCAAACACGAAAGUGGACGUAUACGGUGUGACGCCUGCCCGGUGCCGGAAGGUUAAUUGAUGGGGUUAUCCGUAAGGAGAAGCUCUUGAUCGAAGCCCCGGUAAACGGCGGCCGUAACUAUAACGGUCCUAAGGUAGCGAAAUUCCUUGUCGGGUAAGUUCCGACCUGCACGAAUGGCGUAAUGAUGGCCAGGCUGUCUCCACCCGAGACUCAGUGAAAUUGAACUCGCUGUGAAGAUGCAGUGUACCCGCGGCAAGACGGAAAGACCCCGUGAACCUUUACUAUAGCUUGACACUGAACAUUGAGCCUUGAUGUGUAGGAUAGGUGGGAGGCUUUGAAGCGUGGACGCCAGUCUGCGUGGAGCCAACCUUGAAAUACCACCCUUUAAUGUUUGAUGUUCUAACGUUGGCCCCUUACCGGGGUUGCGGACAGUGUCUGGUGGGUAGUUUGACUGGGGCGGUCUCCUCCCAAAGCGUAACGGAGGAGCACGAAGGUUAGCUAAUCCUGGUCGGACAUCAGGAGGUUAGUGCAAUGGCAUAAGCUAGCUUGACUGCGAGCGUGACGGCGCGAGCAGGUGCGAAAGCAGGUCAUAGUGAUCCGGUGGUUCUGAAUGGAAGGGCCAUCGCUCAACGGAUAAAAGGUACUCCGGGGAUAACAGGCUGAUACCGCCCAAGAGUUCAUAUCGACGGCGGUGUUUGGCACCUCGAUGUCGGCUCAUCACAUCCUGGGGCUGAAGUAGGUCCCAAGGGUAUGGCUGUUCGCCAUUUAAAGUGGUACGCGAGCUGGGUUUAGAACGUCGUGAGACAGUUCGGUCCCUAUCUGCCGUGGGCGCUGGAGAAUUGAGGGGGGCUGCUCCUAGUACGAGAGGACCGGAGUGGACGCAUCACUGGUGUUCGGGUUGUCAUGCCAAUGGCACUGCCCGGUAGCUAAAUGCGGAAGAGAUAAGUGCUGAAAGCAUCUAAGCACGAAACUUGCCCCGAGAUGAGUUCUCCCUGAGACUUUAAGUCUCCUGAAGGAACGUUGAAGACGACGACGUUGAUAGGCCGGGUGUGUAAGCGCAGCGAUGCGUUGAGCUAACCGGUACUAAUGAACCGUGAGGCUUAACCUUACAACGCCGAAG